UUUCUUUAUAGUCUGCUCACACCCUGUGCAGGAGUCAGUUGCAGUCAGCACACAGCAUGGACAUGAGGGCCCCUGCUCAGCUCCUGGGGCUCCUUCUGCUCUGGCUCCCAGGUGCCAGAUGUGACAUCCUAAUGACUCAGUCUCCAUCCUACUUGUCUGCAUCAGUAGGAGACAGAGUCUCCAUCACUUGCAGAGCCAGUCAGGGCAUUGGUACUAAUUUACAUUGGUAUCAGCAGAAACCAAGGAAAGCUCCUAAACUUUUGAUUUAUUGGGCAAACAACUUGCAAUCCGGGGUCCCAUCCAGGUUCAGUGGCAGUGGAUCUGGGACAGAGUUCACGCUCACCAUAAGCAGCCUUCAGUCUGAAGACUUUGCAACUUAUUACUGUCAACAGGGUAGUAGUUUUCCUCCCACAGUGAUACAAGCCAUAACAUAAACCUCCCAGGGAGGC